rnacentral:rRNA from 1 species
GACGAACGCUGGCGGCGUGCCUAACACAUGCAAGUCGAGCGGUAAGGCCCUUUCGGGGGUACACGAGCGGCGAACGGGUGAGUAACACGUGGGUGACCUGCCCUUAGCUCUGGGAUAAGCCUGGGAAACUGGGUCUAAUACCGGAUAUGACUCCAUGACGCAUGUUGUGGGGUGGAAAGCCUUGUGCGGCUAGGGAUGGGCCCGCGGCCUAUCAGCUUGUUGGUGGGGUGAUGGCCCACCAAGGCGACGACGGGUAGCCGGCCUGAGAGGGCGACCGGCCACACUGGGACUGAGACACGGCCCAGACUCCUACGGGAGGCAGCAGUGGGGAAUCUUGCGCAAUGGGCGAAAGCCUGACGCAGCGACGCCGCGUGGGGAUGACGGCCU